rnacentral:rRNA from 1 species
CAGUAGCCGCGGUAAUACGAAGGGGGCUAGCGUUGCUCGGAAUGACUGGGCGUAAAGGGCGCGUAGGCGGAUUGUUUAGUUAGGCGUGAAAUUCCUGGGCUUAACCUGGGGACUGCGCUUAAUACAGGCAGUCUAGAGUGAGGAAGAGGGUUGUGGAAUUCCCAGUGUAGAGGUGAAAUUCGUAGAUAUUGGGAAGAACACCGGUGGCGAAGGCGGCAACCUGGUCCUUGACUGACGCUGAGGCGCGAAAGCGUGGGGAGCAAACAGGAUUAGAUACCCCGGUAGUCCCUGUCUCUUAUAC